rnacentral:tRNA from 1 species
CGCUCUAAAGGAAAGCAGCUCUGACCUGC